rnacentral:misc_RNA from 1 species
GAUGAAGAACGCAGCGAAAUGCGAUAAGUAAUGUGAAUUGCAGAAUUCAGUGAAUCAUCGAAUCUUUGAACGCACAUUGCGCCCGUCAGUAUUCUGGCGGGCAUGCCUGUUCGAGCGUCAUUACGCCCCUCAAGUCCCCUGUGGACUUGGUGUUGGGGAUCGGCGAGGCUGGUUUUCCAGCACAGCCGUCCCUUAAAUUAAUUGGCGGUCUCGCCGUGGCCCUCCUCUGCGCAGUAGUAAAACACUCGCAACAGGAGCCCGGCGCGGUCCACUGCCGUAAAACCCCCCAACUUUUUAUAGUUGACCUCGAAUCAGGUAGGACUACCCGCUGAACCUAAGCAUAUCAAUAAGCGGAGGA